rnacentral:rRNA from 1 species
AUUGAACGCUAGCGGGAUGCUUUACACAUGCAAGUCGAACGAGUGGCGGACGGGUGUGUAAUAUAUCGGAACGCGCCCAGUAGCGGGGGAUAUCCAGUCGAAAGAGUGUCUAACACCGCAUACUAAUGUAGCGGCCGAUAUCGGAUUAGAUUGUUGGUGGGGUAAAGGCUCACCAAGGCAAAGCUCCGUAGCUGGUUUGAGAGGACGACCAGCCACACUGGGACUGAGACACGGCCCAGACUCCUACGGGAGGCAGCAGUGGGGAAUUUUGGACAAUGGGGGCAACCCUGAUCCAGCCAUCCCGCGUGUAUGAGAAGGCCUUCGGGUUGUAAAGUACUUUUGGCAGAGAAGCGGUAUCUGCAGAAUAAGCACCGGCUAACUACGUGCCAGCAGCCGCGGUAAUUC